UACGUAGGGUGCAAGCGUUAAUCGGAAUUACUGGGCGUAAAGGGCGCGUAGGCGGGAUGGCAAGUCGGUCGUGAAAUCCCUGGGCUCAACUCAGGGGGGUCGGCCGAUACUGCCGUUCUUGAGGGAUGCAGAGGAGACUGGAAUUCCCGGUGUAGCGGUGAAAUGUGUAGAGAUCGGGAGGAACACCGGUGGCGAAGGCGGGUCUCUGGGCAUUCCCUGACGCUGAGGCGCGAAAGCGUGGGGAGCAAACGGG
rnacentral:rRNA from 1 species